rnacentral:rRNA from 1 species
GAAAGGCGGGCUAAACCCGCGUACAUGCCACCGGGGCAUCCCGGAGGCAGGAAAGGCUUCGGCCGGACAGGGAUGGGCAUGCGGCGCAUUAGGCAGUAGGCGGGGUAACGGCCUACCUAACCGACGAUGCGUAGGGGUUCUGAGAGGAAGGUCCCCCACACUGGUACUGAGACACGGACCAGACUCCUACGGGAGGCAGCAGUGAGGAAUAUUGGUCAAUGGUCGGGAGACUGAACCAGCCAAGCCGCGUGAGGGAGGAAGGUACAGAGUAUCGUAAACCUCUUUUGUCAGGGAACAAAGACUGGGACGCGUCCCCGGAUGAGUGUACCUGAAGAAAAAGCAUCGGCUAACUCCGUGCCAGCAGCCGCGGUAAUACGGAGGAUGCGAGCGUUAUCCGGAUUUAUUGGGUUUAAAGGGUGCGCAGGCGGUCUGUUAAGUCAGCGGUCAAAGCCCGGGGCUCAACCCCGGCCCGCCGUUGAAACUGGCAGUCUCGAGUUGGAGAGAAGUAUGCGGAAUGCGCGGUGUAGCGGUGAAAUGCAUAGAUAUCGCGCAGAACUCCGAUUGCGAAGGCAGCAUGCCGGCUCCACACUGACGCUGAGGCACGAAAGCGUGGGUAUCGAACAGGAUUAGAUACCCUGGUAGUCC